rnacentral:rRNA from 1 species
UAGGGAAUCUUCGGCAAUGGGGGGAACCCUGACCGAGCAACGCCGCGUGAGUGAAGAAGGUUUUCGGAUCGUAAAGCUCUGUUGUUAAGGAAGAACGAGUGUGAGAAUGGAAAGUUCAUACUGUGACGGUACUUAACCAGAAAGGGACGGCUAACUACGUGCCAGCAGCCGCGGUAAUACGUAGGUCCCGAGCGUUGUCCGGAUUUAUUGGGCGUAAAGCGAGCGCAGGCGGUUAGAUAAGUCCGAAGUUAAAGGCAGUGGCUCAACCAUUGUAGGCUUUGGAAACUGUUUAACUUGAGUGCAGAAGGGGAGAGUGGAAUUCCAUGUGUAGCGGUGAAAUGCGUAGAUAUAUGGAGGAACACCGGUGGCGAAAGCGGCUCUCUGGUCUGUAACUGACGCUGAGGCUCGAAAGCGUGGGGAGCGAACAGG